UACGUAGGGGGCAAGCGUUGUCCGGAUUUAUUGGGCGUAAAGAGCGUGUAGGCGGCCAAACAGGUCAGCUGUGAAAACUCGAGGCUCAACCUCGAGACGUCGGUUGAAACCGUAUGGCUAGAGUCCGGCAGAGGAGAGUGGAAUUCCCGGUGUAGCGGUGAAAUGCGCAGAUAUCGGGAAGAACACCCGUGGCGAAGGCGGCUCUCUGGGACGGUACUGACGCUGAGACGCGAAAGCGUGGGGAGCAAACAGG
rnacentral:rRNA from 1 species